GAUGAAGAACGUAGCGAAAUGCGAUAAGUAAUGUGAAUUGCAGAAUUCAGCGAAUCAUCGAAUCUUUGAACGCACAUUGCGCCCGCCAGUAUUCUGGCGGGCAUGCCUGUUCGAGCGUCAUUUCAACCAUCAAGCCCCCGGCUUGUGUUGGGGACCUGCGGCUGCCGCAGGCCCUGAAAACCAGUGGCGGGCUCGCUAGUCACUCCGAGCGUAGUAAUACAUCUCGCUCAGGGCGUGCUGCGGGUUCCGGCCGUUAAAAAGCCUUAUUUACCCAAGGUUGACCUCGGAUCAGGUAGGAAGACCCGCUGAACUUAAGCAUAUCAAUAAGCGGAGGA
rnacentral:misc_RNA from 1 species